UGAGGCAGGAGAAUUGCUUGAACCCGGGAGGUGGAGGUUGUAGUGAGCCGAGAUUGUGCCACUGCACUCCAGCCUGGGCGACAGAGCAAGACUCUGUCUU
rnacentral:miRNA from 10 species